rnacentral:rRNA from 1 species
AACGAACGCUGGCGGCAUGCCUAACACAUGCAAGUCGAACGAGACCUUCGGGCCUAGUGGCGCACGGGUGCGUAACGCGUGGGAACCUGCCCUUAGGUUCGGAAUCACUCCCCGAAAGGGGUGCUAAUACCGGUUAAUGUCUUCCGACCAAAGAUUUAUCGCCUUUGGAUGGGCCUGCGUUGGAUUAGCUGGUUGGUAGGGUAAAAGCCUACCAAGGCGACGUUCCAUAGCUGGUUGGUGAGGAUGAUCAGCCACACUGGGGCUGAGACACGGCCCAGACUCCUACGGAAGGCAGCAGUGGGGAAUAUUGGACAAUGGGCGAUAGCCUGAUCCAGCAAUGCCGCGUGAGUGAUGAAGGCCGUAGGGUUGUAAAGCUCUUUUACCCGGGAUGAUAAUGACAGUACCGGGAGAAUAAGCUCCGGCUAACUCCGUG